GACCUGGAUAUAUAUUGCACCAUCUUCCUAUCAUCUGUUCUCCUCCCCUUUCUCCUCCAAAGCUACAUUCAUCCCUGUGUGUUCAUGGACUCCAUCCUUCUCCUGCCUCUGGUUGCUCUCCUAGUUGUUGCCAUCUCAUGGCUAUGGGAUUACACCGUCGUGCGACUGAUUUGGAGGCCUCACUGCAUAGCCAAGGAAUUCAGAGAGAAGCAGGGGAUCCGUGGACCUGCCUACAAGUUCUUGGGAGGCAACAAUGGCGAAAUCAGCAGGUUGAAGGAGGAGGCAGAUGGCCAGGUGUUGGAUAAUCUUCGUGACCACAACUACCUCCCAAGGAUAGCACCUCACUUCCUCAAAUGGAGGGCUCAGUAUGGAGAAGCGUUUCUGUUUUGGUAUGGAGCAAAGCCACGCAUCUGCAUUUUCGACUAUGAGUUGGCUAGGCAGAUUCUCUCGAGCAAGUCUGGACAUUUUCUGAAGAAUGAUGCGCCCCCAACUCUGGUGGCCCUAAUGGGCAAGGGAUUAGUACUCUUGGAAGGCACUGAUUGGGUGCGCCAUCGCAGGGUAAUCAACCCUGCUUUUAACAUGGACAAGCUCAAGAUGAUGAUAAGCACAAUGACGGGUUGUGCUCAAAGCUUGGCCAAGGAGUUAGAGGAUGUCGCAGCCAAGAACAAGGACAGAGUAACAGAGGUCGACCUCAACCAAAAAUUCAGAUAGCUAACAGCAGAUAUUAUUGCCCAUACUGCCUUCGGCAGCAGUUACCAAUUAGGCAAAGAGGCCUUCCAGGCACAGCAUGAACUGACAGAGAUCACCAUGGCAACUUUAUUUCAAGUGCAAUUACCAGGGCUCAACUAUCUUCCUACUGAAAGAAAUCGGCGCAAAUGGAGGCUUCAGAAGAAUCUCAGGGACACACUGAUGCAGAUCAUACGAUCGCGGCUAUCAUCAAAAGACGGCGGGUACGGCAACGAUCUGCUCGGUUUGAUGCUUGGCGCCUGCGCUUCAGACGAGCAAGGGGAGGCCAGCAGCUUGAGCAUGGACGAGAUCGUAGACGAGUGCAAGACGUUCUUCUUAGCCGGCCAUGAGACCACCUCCCUCCUCCUCACAUGGACCGUCUUCUUGCUCAGCGUGUACCCCGAAUGGCAGGAAAGGCUCAGAAACGAGGUCUUGAGAGAAUGUGGGACGGAUCAGUGUCCUGAUGCCAAUUCACUCGGCAAACUGAAGGAGAUGACAAUGGUGCUCCUGGAGACACUGAGGCUGUACAACCCGGCGCUCUUCAUCCAGAGGAAGCCCACGGCGGACAUCACGGUGGGAUCGCUGGCGAUCCCCGCCGGCGUCGCCGUCUACAUCCCGGUCCCGAUCAUGCACCGGGACAGGGAGGUCUGGGGGCACGACGCCGGCGAGUUCAACCCGCUGAGGUUCCGGGACGGGGCGGCGAGGGCGGCGGCGGCGGCGGGGAUCCCGCACGCGCUCCUGUCCUUCUCGAUCGGGCCGAGGUCGUGCAUCGGCCAGGGCUUCGCGAUGCUGGAGGCGAAGGCGGCCAUGGCCGCGAUGCUGCGGAGGCUCUCGUUCCGCGUCUCCCCCGGGUACGUGCACGCGCCCGUGGAUUUGAUCACGCUCAAGCCCAAGUUUGGGCUUCCGGUGAUCGUGAGGCUGCCGGAUGCAUGAAGUGGGGGUGUGUUUCGAUCACGCGUAUAGCAAUAAUAAAAACCAGUCAAUAGUAAUACCCUACGCUUUGCUGCGGAAUAUAUGUUUAUGUUUAAAUAGCGUGGAAAUGAUGUGAAGAUGAUGAGUUGAUAUUGCUUGCAUGUUAAGUUCUAAAAAUACAACAAAAUUGUAAAUGUUGUGCCGUGUUUGCGUGAGAUUGAAAUCGGUAAAUGAUGUGUCAUGGUUGUAUGAGAUUUAAGAUACUCUAAAUAAUAAUUGCUAGUGGAUGAUUAUGUGACGUA